CCUACGGGAGGCUGCAGUAGGGAAUCUUCCACAAUGGGCGAAAGCCUGAUGGAGCCACGCCGCGUGGGUGAAGAAGGUCUUCGGAUCGUAAAACCCUGUUGUUAGAGAAGAAAGUGCGUGAGAUUAACUGUUCACGUUUCGACGGUAUCUAACCAGAAAGCCACGUCUAACUACGUACCAGCAGCCGCGGUAAUACGUGGGGUGCUAGCGUUAUCGGGUUUUAUUGUGCGAAAAGGGAACUCAGGCGGUAGUUUAAGUCUGAUUUGAAGGCCUUCGGCUUAACCGGAGAAGUGCAUGGAAACUGGGAGAGUGGAGUGCAGAAGAGGAGAGUGGAACUCCAGGUGUAGCGGUGAAAUGCGUAGAUAUCAGGAAGAACACCAGUGGCGAAGGCGGCUCUCUGGUCUGUAACUGACGCUGAGGUUCGAAAGCGUGGGUAGCAAACAGGAUUAGAUACCCGGGUAGUC
rnacentral:rRNA from 1 species